rnacentral:rRNA from 1 species
GCCCCGUAAUCGGAAUGAGUACACUUUAAAUCCUUUAACAAGGAUCCAUUGGAGGGCAAGUCUGGUGCCAGCAGCCGCGGUAAUUCCAGCUCCAAUAGCGUAUAUUAAAGUUGUUGCGGUUAAAAAGCUCGUAGUUGGUUCUGCGUGCCGCGCUGUCGGUUCGCCGCCUGUCGGUGUAACUGGCAUGUCGCGGCAUGUCCUGUCGGUGGUGAACGGAGUCCNNNNNGAUGUUAGCGUCGUGUGUACUUCCGUUGGCCGAUCUCUCCUACUUCGGUGCUCUUAAACGAGUGUCGAGGUAGGCCGACACGUUCACUUUGAACAAAUUAGAGUGCUUAAAGCAGGCUGAAAUAUCUGCCUGAAUAGUGGUGCAUGGAAUGAUAAAACAGGAUCUCGGUUCUAUUUUGUUGGUUUUAGGAAUAUGAGGUAAUGAUCAAUGUGGACUGGCGGGGGCAUUCGUAUUGCGACGUUAGAGGUGAAAUUCUUGGAUCGUCGCAAGACGCACUAGAGCGAAAGCAUUUGCCAAGUAUGUCUUAAUUGAUCAAGAACGAAAGUUAGAGGUUCGAAGGCGAUCAGAUACCGCCCUAGUUCUAACCAUAAACGAUGCCAGCCAGCGAUCCGCCGAUGUUCCUUUAAUGACUCGGCGGGGAGCUUCCACCCGGGAAACCAAAGCUUUUGGGUUCCGGGGGAAGUAUGGUUGCAAAGCUGAAACUUAAAGGA